GGGUGUGGUGGUGCAUGCCUGUAACCCCAGCAGCUUGGGAAACUGAGACAGGAGAAUUUCGAGUUCAAAGUCAGCCUCAGCAACAGUGAGGCACUAAGCAACUCAGUGAGACCCUGUCUCUA
rnacentral:sRNA from 1 species